UACGUAGGGGGCAAGCGUUGUCCGGAAUCAUUGGGCGUAAAGAGCGUGUAGGCGGCCAGAUAAGUCCGCUGUGAAAUCUCGAGGCUCAACUUCGAGCUGUCGGUGGAAACUGUCUGGCUAGAGUCCGGAAGAGGAGAAUGGAAUUCCCGGUGUAGCGGUGAAAUGCGUAGAUAUCGGAAGGAACACCAGUGGCGAAAGCGGCUUCCUGGUCCAGCACCGACGUUCAGGCACGAAAGCGUGGGGAGCAAACAGG
rnacentral:rRNA from 1 species